rnacentral:rRNA from 1 species
UACGGAGGAUUCGAGCGUUAUCCGGAUUUAUUGGGUUUAAAGGGAGCGUAGGCGGUUUAUUAAGUCUGGUGUAAAAGGCAGUGGCUCAACCAUUGUAUGCAUUGGAAACUGGUAGACUUGAGUGCAGGAGAGGAGAGUGGAAUUCCAUGUGUAGCGGUGAAAUGCGUAGAUAUAUGGAGGAACACCGGUGGCGAAAGCGGCUCUCUGGCCUGUAACUGACACUGAGGCUCGAAAGCGUGGGGAGCAAACAGG